rnacentral:rRNA from 1 species
CCUACGGGAGGCUGCAGUGAGGAAUAUUGGUCAAUGGGCGCAAGCCUGAACCAGCCAAGUCGCGUGAGGGAUGACGGUCCUAUGGAUUGUAAACCUCUUUUGUCGGGGAGCAAGGCCCGCCACGUGUGGCGGGAAGGAGAGUACCCGAAGAAAAAGCAUCGGCUAACUCCGUGCCAGCAGCCGCGGUAAUACGGAGGAUGCGAGCGUUAUCCGGAUUUAUUGGGUUUAAAGGGUGCGUAGGCGGAAGGUUAAGUCAGCGGUAAAAUGUCGGGGCUCAACACCGGCCUGCCGUUGAAACUGGUCUUCUUGAGUGAGCGAGAGGUAUGCGGAAUGCGUGGGGUAGCGGUGAAAUGCAUAGAUAUCACGCAGAACUCCGAUUGCGAAGGCAGCAUACCGGCGCUCAACUGACGCUGAGGCACGAAAGCGUGGGGAUCGAACAGGAUUAGAUACCCUAGUAGUC